rnacentral:rRNA from 1 species
GAUGAACGCUAGCGGCAGGCUUAAUACAUGCAAGUCGAGGGGCAGCACGGUUAGCAAUAACUGGUGGCGACCGGCGCACGGGUGCGUAACACGUAUACAAUCUACCUUAAACAGGGGGAUAGCCUUUCGAAAGAGAGAUUAAUACCCCGUAAUAAAUUGAACGGCAUCGUUUGAUUUUGAAAGCUCCGGCGGUUUGAGAUGAGUAUGCGUCUGAUUAGCUAGUUGGUGAGGUAACGGCUCACCAAGGCGACGAUCAGUAGGGGAUCUGAGAGGGACUAACCCCCCACACUGGUACUGAGACACGGACCAGACUCCUACGGGAGGCAGCAGUAAGGAAUAUUGGUCAAAUGGGAAGGCAAACUCUGAACCAGCCAUGCCGCGUGCAGGAUGACGGCCCUAUGGGGUUAG